UUAUCGCGCGCUCUCCUUUUUUUGCCCGUACUAGCGGAGCAAAAAUGGCGUAGGAGCGGAGGGCGAAAGGAGGCGAGGACCUUCUUCUCUCCCCUUCACCGUGUCCAGCGGGGAGGAGAGAAGGGGGUCCGCAACUUUUGGAGCUUUCCUUUAAAAUUUGCGCGUCUCCUUGUGAAAACGAAGCCGGCGGUCCUCCAGGUGAAGAGGACGGGUUACCGCAGAGGAAAAGGACCCCCCCCCCCCCACCGGCUUUUGUUUACCGUUGUGUGCCGCUGCAGCUCAGAGGAAAUAUCUCUGCAUCGUUUCUCACUGAGGUGGAGAGAUGGAGCCAACUGAACCCCAGAGACCCCGGGGAGAAGACUCAGAACCGCCAACGUAACUCCUCCACCUCUGCCGGGGAGAGAACUGUAGCUAAGAUAAGCUGCUUUGGGGUCCUCGCACUUCUCUCCCCGCCUUUCCCGCUGUUUUCUGGGACCCUGGGUGUCUCUCGUCCACAGCAUCCCCUCUGGUCCUGACCUCCUGCUGCAGCCCGAUCGUCAGCGAGGACAGCCGCCGACAUUAGAAGUCGUCCAACCUCAGACAUGAACACCGUUAUAUAAAGCCUCAUGUAACACCAGCUCUGCAGCUGUUUAGUUUGCUUAAAGAAAAAGGUGAAAUCUGGACGACACUUAAUAUGGAAAUAGUUGUUUCCACCCCCCCCCCCCAAAAGAAAUCACAAGAGGUGUGAUGAUGAGUGAACGGUAUUCUCUGUUUUUCUGAAGAAAGUAAAGACACAACAUACUGUAGCAAAGAUCCAAACGCCUGUGAUACAAAUUAAGGUUCAUUGGUUCAUUCUUUUUUUAACUACCUCAUUGUCACAGCGAGUUUAAACAGAAAGAAAUGGAGCGUUUUCUGAACAAAGAGCGUAGUUUCAUCUGUCCAUGGACGUUUUUAGCGUUACGAAGUGAGGUUAGACCCAAGCUCUGCGUGCGCUCGCUUAUGUUCUGAAUUUGUUUUCUUUUUAGGAGGAAAACGCGGAUUCCUUAACUCUCUUGUCUCGGCGUGAGCUGAUAUUUUUUAUUUUAUUUUUUU